rnacentral:rRNA from 1 species
CUAGACAUUGCAACAUGUAGCAUGCCAGGAGACUUGAGUUAGUGGGUUAUGAAGCAUUACAACACUGAAAUUUCACAACCGGUCAUUCCAGAGAGGGGGAAAAUUCCAGUAGAUGCAGCAAGUGUUCAUAGGAUAUGGGGUUUGCCAAACAGGGGGAGGCAAGUGUGCUAUGAGAAGAGAGCGGAUUACACAUCUCAAAUGAAUACCAUCUUCAACAUUAAUACCAAAGGCUCACCAACACAAACAUCAUGGUGCAAAAUGAUUGAGGAUAUGGCUGGGCGUAGAUGA